GUUGACCUCGGAUCAGGUAGGAAUACCCGCUGAACUUAAGCAUAUCAAUAGGCGGAGGAACAGCGAGACCGCCACUAUAUUUGGGAGCCG
rnacentral:rRNA from 1 species